rnacentral:piRNA from 1 species
GAAGCUGCGACUUCACGCCAAAGGAUCA